rnacentral:rRNA from 1 species
AACGAACGCUGGCGGCAUGCCUAACACAUGCAAGUCGAACGAGAACUUCGGGUCUAGUGGCGCACGGGUGCGUAACGCGUGGGAACCUGCCCUUAGGUUCGGAAUAACUCCCCGAAAGGGGUGCUAAUACCGGAUAAUGUCUUCGGACCAAAGAUUUAUCGCCUUGGGAUGGGCCCGCGUUGGAUUAGCUAGUUGGUAGGGUAAAAGCCUACCAAGGCGACGAUCCAUAGCUGGUCUGAGAGGAUGAUCAGCAACACUGGGACUGAGACACGGCCCAGACUCCUACGGGAGGCAGCAGUGGGGAAUAUUGGACAAUGGGCGAAAGCCUGAUCCAGCAAUGCCGCGUGAGUGAUGAAGGCCUUAGGGUUGUAAAGCUCUUUUACCCGGGAUGAUAAUGACAGUACCGGGAGAAUAAGCACCGGCUAACUCCGUG